rnacentral:rRNA from 1 species
CCCCUAGUAACGGCGAGUGAAGCGGGAAGAGCUCAAAUUUGUAAUCUGGCGGUCUCAGGCCGUCCGAGUUGUAAUCUGGAGAAGCGUUUUCAGUGCCGGCCCGCGUACAAGUCCCCUGGAACGGGGCGUCGCAGAGGGUGAGAAUCCCGUCUUUGACGCGGUCUGCCCGGUGCCAUGUGAUGCGCUCUCGAAGAGUCGAGUUGUUUGGGAAUGCAGCUCAAAACGGGUGGUAAAUUCCAUCUAAAGCUAAAUACUGGCGAAAGACCGAUAGCGAACAAGUACCGUGAGGGAAAGAUGAAAAGCACUUUGGAAAGAGAGUCAAACAGUACGUGAAAUUGUUGAAAGGGAAACGCUUGAAGUCAGUCGCGUCUCUCGGGAUUCAACCGUCCUUCGGGUCGGCGUAUUUCCCGGGGUUUGACGGGCCAGCGUCGAUUUCGACCGUCGUAAAAAGGCGAGAGGAAUGUGGCACCUCCGGGUGUGUUAUAGCCUCCCGUCGUAUGCGAACGGUCAGGGAUCGAGGAACGCAGCGCGCCUCUUAACUGGGGCCGGGGUUCGCCCACGUAACGCGCUUAGGACGCUGGCGUAAUGGCUUUAAGCGACCCGUCUUGAAACACGGACCAAGGAGUCUAACAUGCU